UAGACUUCCCGGUCAAGUGUUAUAGUUGUCAAAAUGUCAAUAACAGUGUUCCUCAAGACCCUACAUGAAGAUGGUAGAAUGGAUACAAUCAUAGUCAAACCGAAUGAUACGACGGAAACAUUAUACGAGAAUUGGGAUACUGAAUUUAAAUAUUCAUUCGAAGUUGUACGCUUUCUUUUCGAAGGACGUCAGCUAAAACCAGGCAGAAAACUCUCAGAUUACAACAUUAAAGAUAAAUCAACUAUACAACUUGCUCUCAGCCUUAGAGGAAGUUGAUUCUGAACAAAAUAGCUUGAGUUUGCUUGCAGCUUUUGUGUAAAUAUAACUUUUGAUCACUUGCUUGAGUUGAGCCUCGAUGUGAAAAAUUUGCUUUAAUAAACCAAUUUCUAAUUACAAGUACAUGUACAUAUAUCUUAAUUCAUACUGCAUGAGUCAUUUAAACGUUAAAUUAAAAA